UUUGUUACACAGCAUUAGAUCGCUGAUAUACCCAACAAGAUGGAGUCAGCAUAUUGUAGAGCAAAGAAUACUGAAAAGAAAGAAGUGCACAUGGAAGGCAGAGAUGGUCAAGAUCUGAUCCCUAGCUUGAGGAGCUCACAUUCAAAUGGAAUGUCACACAAGAAGGGCAGAGAAAGACACACUGGAACAGCCCCUCAAAGUGAGCAGCAUAUGAGCUAUAUCUUGAAAGAUGAGAAGAAUUUUUCAAGGCAGACAAGGGACAUUUGAGCUGAUACCAAUCACCAGGUGACAGUGAGCCGCAGAGCAGAUUUUUCAGUCAAUAUCUCUGACAUGCUGAAACAUCUGAAACACAGCCACCAACUUCUUUGUGCUUUGGUUGUGAAAGUAAAA